UGAAUGUAUGACAGAGCUCCACAGCAAUGUACCCCGUAGUAAUGUGCAGUGUAUGACAGAGCUCCACAGCAAUGUAACCCUUAGUACUGUGCAGUGUAUGAGUGUAUCACAGAGCUCCACAGCAAUGUAACCCUUAGUACUGUGCAGUGUAUGAGUGUAUCACAGAGCUCCACAGCAAUGUAACACUUAGUAAUGUGCAGUGUAUGACAGAACUCCACAACAAUGUAACACUUGGUAAUGUGCAGUGUAUGACAGAACUCCACAGCAAUGUAACCCUUAGUAAUGUGCAGUGUAUGACAGAACUCCACAGCAAUGUGACCCAUAGUAAUGUGCAGUGUAUGACAGAACUCCACAGCAAUGUAACCUUUAGUAAUGUGCAGUGUAUGAGUGUAUGGCAGAGCUCCACAGCAAUGUGACCCAUAGUAAUGUGCAGUGUAUGACAGAGCUCCACAGUCAGUGACUGAAAUUAAGCAGCAUACUAAAAAAAGAGUAACAAAAUUAUCUAUAUGUAUAAUUCAUUUCUCCCCACAUCUUACACUGACGAGCCAUAACUUUAAAAACACCGACCUAAUAUUAUGUAGGUCCCCCUCGUGCUGCCAAUACAGCUUUAAUGUAUCAAGACAUGGACUCAACAAGAACUCUGAACGUGUCCUGUGGGAUCUGACAUCAAAACGUUAGCAGCAGAUCCAGUGGAAGAGGUCACUGCCAUCGGGGAAUACCAUUGCUAUGAAGGUGUGUACAUGGUCUGCAACAAUCUCUAGGUAGAUGUUAAGCAUCAAAGUAAUAUCCAAUGGCAGAACCCAAGGUUUCCCAGCAGAACAUUGCCUAGUGCAUAACACUGCCUCCGCCGGCCUGCCUUCUUCCUACUGCCAUCCACCUGAUCUAAAAGAAAAUAUUGCUCCAUGGUCCAGUUCUGAUGCUCACAUCCUCAUUGACUGCAUUUUUAGCAGUGGACAUGGGCCAUCAUGGGCACUCUAACUGGCCUGUGGCUACGCAGCCCCAUACGCAGCAAACUGUGAUGCACUGGGUGUUCUAAUACCUUUAUGUCAUGGCCACCAUUAAGUUUUUUAGCAAUUUGAGCUACAGUAUCUCUUCUGUGUGAUCGUAACAGACAAGCUAGCCUUUGCUUCCUACGUGCAUCACUGGGCCUUGGACAACUAUAUGCUGACGUAAGUUCACCGGUUGACCUUCCUUGCACCACUUUUGGUAGGUACUAACCACUAUACACCAAGAACACCCCACAAUACUUUCUAUUUUGGUGAUGUUCUCACUCUGUUGUCUAGCUGUCACUAUUUGGCCCUUGUCAAAGUCACUCAGAUCUUUUCUGUUGUCCAUUUUUCCUGUUUCCAACACAAGAAAUUCAAGAACUGACUCUUCACUUGCUGUCUAAUACAUCCCACCACAUGACAGGUGACAUUGUACUUAUAUAAUCAAUGUUAUUCACUUGUCAGUAGUUUUAAU